AAGUGUUAAAACUGAACCGAAACUA
rnacentral:miRNA from 1 species